UUCCCUUCUCCCUCAUGCGCGACCAAACCCCUUCCGAUUUUUAUUUUUUCUCCAACUGUCGUCCUUCUCGUCGCCGACCUUGACCGCCAGCCCAAAUUCGAGCAAUGACUAGCCCAGAUCUAACUUCGACCUCUUCGCGUCUCAGCCGUUCGCGUCGCCCAGAUCCAACUUCGGCCUCCCACGCCGAAGUCGCGAGUCCUUCCGCUGCUCGACUUGUUGUGCCAACGCCUGCACCAGCUGCGACCUCGAGCGUUCCCCCUUUUCUCUUCAGCUUAUCGCCGACCGGAGCCUCCACCAGUCAGCCACAUUUGUCCAGCGCCGCCCAGCCCCUGCCAUUGUUGUAGUUGCCGUCAGAUUUGUUCUGGUUGGAUUUUGAAGUCGAGUUUUGGAGAAGCUUGAAAGUCAAAGGGGCGCCGUCAAGGAAGGUGGAAGUAGUUUCGCCAUUGGGUAAAGGUAGAGAUGCACCGACGAUGGACAAGCAGAAUUCGUGAUCGAGCCACUGGGACUAGUUUUAUGCUUCCGCUCAUGAGACUUAGAUUUUCUUUCAUGUUUUGCUAAAUUUUUAGUUUUGAUGUUUGAAACCUAUUAUUAAUAAUUGUUUCUCAGACUUAUUUAUGUAUUUAUGAUUUAUGGGUACCCUAUUGUUAUUUUUAAAAUUCGCAUUUAAUAAAGAACU